CAUCUUAACUGGUGAGUCAUGGAUUCCUUUGCCAUUUCAUUUUGUUCAGUGUGUUACUGCUAUUAAACCAUGUUGUCCUAGAUACCAUUACUUGUAGUUAAGACAUGUUGAACUUAGUUUGAAUCGAUUAAUGAAAUCUGCCUAACUCUGUGUUAUUGAGGACCAUCUUUUAGAUUUAAGUUUGUUAUAAGCAUGCUUUCAUACCUUACCCUAAAGACUGGUUAGCCAUGCAUAGAUAUGUACCUUAACAGAUUUAUAAGUUUGUUUCUUGUACCUGUUAUAAUAUGGCCUGUCUAGUUAUGUUCUCUUUAUGUUAUGAUACCUCUUUUGAACUAUCUUAAUCAGUUCCUCACUCACUAUUAAUCAAUGUGUUCCCUUUCUAUGACUUAGUCUGAUCUAAAAUCUCUAUUAUCAUUAUUAAUCUGCUUACGAACUAGCAUAUGGCUGAUUGUUAAAAUUAGAUUAAGAACUAAGUUCAAAUGUGUUUGCUAUUUUGUACAUGUUCUAUAUGUGAUUAUGUCCUUAAAUGAAUUCCCUAAUCCAUUUUACUCCCUUCUAUUCCUUUACUAUUCAAUCCUUCUGAAUCCUCAUUCUUAGAGUGUGAGCACUGCUCAACGUUCAUGUGAGACCCUUGUGAACUCUGACACACUAGGAUUUGGUCCCUAGUCUUCCUUGAACUAUUUCUGAUCUCUGUGAAUUUCCCUGGUGUGAGCAUUGCCCUGGGUCCCUGAGGCCCUUGGGAACUUUGACACAUUAGAGACUUAGGUUCUAUGUGCUAUGGGUAAACCAUUCACCACUAGUUAUUAUGUAUCUCUGAGCCUUGGAGUUGUUAUGGGUCGAAGGCCUGGGCUAUCCAGGUGCAUUUGGUCCUACUGCAGGCUUCCUAUAGUUAUAUACUUUGUAAUUUAUUCCUUCGAUUAUGGUCUAUAAUAAGUAUUUGUAAUAACAAUUGAGGCAAUAGUAAAUUGGGAAAACUGGUGUGAUGACCCAAAUGGUCAUCACUCGUUUCGAAAGUUAAUUCUAUGUUUCGAGGCCUUAAAAACCUCUUUUUGUCUCACCUCGAUUUGCAUGCCCUGUCCGGGCGCGUCCCUAGAAAGCUUUUAUGUGAAAUCUAAGAAAAGUAAGGAAAUUAGCCUUUAAAAUUGAUUAAAGUUGACUUUGGUCAACAUUCUUGGUAAACAGACCUAGUCCCGUGAUCCGACGAUCUUGUAGGGUCCGUAGUAAAAUAUGGGACUUGAGCUUAUGCCCAGAAUUGAGUUCCGAGGUCCCAAGCCCGAGAAAUGAAUUUUUAAAGAAAAUUAUUUGCUUGAAAAUAUAAAAGUCUUUAGAAGUGAAUUGAUGCAUUUUCUUGAUGGUAUCGGGCCUGUAUCUUGGUUCCGGAGCCCGGUACAAGUUUAAAUAAUAAUUAAGUUAAAUCUGUAAAAUUUGGUAAAGAUCGGAAUUGAUUUGGUAUAAAAUGGACCUAUAGUUGAGAAAAUAGUAAUUUUGAUGUUCUUGAAUGAUUUCAUGAAUUUGAGGUUUAAUUCAUAGUUGUUGAUGUUAUUUUGAUGAUUUAAUCGUACAGGCAAGUUCGUAUGAUAUUUUUGGACUUGCGUGCAUGUUUGGUUUGGAGCCCCGAGGGCUCGGGUGAGUUUUGGAUAAGCCACGGAGUGAAAUGGGACUUAGGAAAGAUUGCUGGUUUCUGGUAUUUUUGCUCAGGCCUCUGAUCUCGCAAUUGUGAGAUCAGGCUUCGCAAUUGCGAGAUCAGGCUUCGCAAUUGCGAAGUCCUCAGGCAUGGGAAUGAGACCCAGGUGUCUCAAAUGCGAACCAAGCCUGGGCAGGCCUUGAUCGCAAAUGCGACAGGUCUUGAUCGCAAAUGCGACAGGUCUUGAUCGCAAUUGCGAGAUCAGGUUUCGCAAUUGCGAAGUCCUCAGGCAUGGGAAUGAGACCCAGGUGUCUCAAAUGCGAACCGAGCCUGGGCAGGCCUUGAUCGCAAAUGCGACAGGUCUUGAUCGCAAAUGCGACAGGUCUUGAUCGCAAAUUCGAAAAGGGCAGAGUCGCAAAUGCAACUCGUUUGAUCGCAAAUGCGAAGACAUCAGGUUCCAAAGGGGUUCAUAAUUGUGAACCCUGGUCGCAAUUGGGACAACUGAGACAUGCUAAAUGAAAUUUUGACGGGAUUUUCCCCAUUUUCCAAACUCUUCAAACCCUAAAACAUCUUGGGUGAUUUUUAAAAGGCACACACUCUUCCAAAUCAUUUGUAAGUCAUUUCUAACUCAUUUCUUUCAAUCUAAUCCAUCUUUCUACAUGAUUUCAAUUCAAAAUCAAGGGUUUUCAUGGGGAAAUUGGGUGAUUUUGGGUAGAACUUAGGAUUUUCAAAUUUUGGAGAUUUGGACCUCGAUUUGAGGUCUGAUUUAAAAACAAAUUAUAUAUUUGAGUUCGUGGGUGAUCAGAUUUUGGUUCGAACCUCGGGUUUUGACCAAGUGGGCCCGAGGUCAAUUUUUGACUUUUUGGGGAAAUCAUUAGAAAACCUAUUUUUCAUGCAUUAGAAUUGAUUCAUUUAGCAUUCAUUGAUAUCGUUAAGUAAAUUGUAGCUAGAUACAAGCGAAUUGGUGGUGGCAUCGAGGGGUAAAGCGGUAGUUGAGGCUUGAUUGCGUUCGUGGCAUUGAGGUAAGUGUUUGGUCUAAUCUUAGCUUGAGGGAAUAGGAGUCUUGGUCUUAUUUGCUAUAUGUUAAUUGUUGAGUACGACAUAUAGGUAUGGUGACGAGUACCUAUACGUUUGUGUCAAGCAUGCCCGUAAGUCUUAUACUAUGAUUGUUGUGAUUUCGUAUGUGUAAUCCAUGCUUAAUAUGAUGAUUUCUAAUGUUGAACAAGGUUCAUGGAAGUAUUCUUGGUAAUUGGACAUUUUAGAGCAUUGGCUCAAGUUGAGAAUUAAGUUGUGAAUUAAUUGUGGAAAAGAGAAGAGGUUUAUGAUAUUGCUUCCCCUACCGGGAUAUUAUUGUAAUACUAGUGUUCCAUUGCCGGAAUUUUAUUGUGAUUUUAUUGAUUCCCUUGCCCAACUUGCUUUGUGAUUGUUGUUUGGGUAAGGAUGAGUGUAAAUGCACGAAUGGUGAUGCCGCGUGUAAUAUUUGUGAGUGAGUGUUAAUGCACGAAGGGUGAUGUCGUGCCGAUAUUAUAAAUGUAAAAGCACGAAGGGUGAUGUCGUGCCAUGAUAUGAGUCAUAAUGCACGAAGGAUAAUGCCAUGCCAUGAUUAUGUGAGGUAAAAGCACGAAGGGUGACACCGUGUUGAAUAUAUUGAUUCUUAUGAUGAGAGCAAGAGUAAAAGCACGAAGAGUGAUGCCGUGCACUUGUUAUAAUUCUCGUUGUUCUUGAUUAUAGUUGAAUUUUGGUGUUCUGUAUGUUUUUUUACUUAAUUUCUGUUUUUAUACAUGAUAUUCCCCCGAGCAUGUUUUCCCCUUCCCAUCUUUAACUGUUAGUUUUCUGUCAUUAUUAUUUGUUGUAUAUAAUAUAAUUGCAUAGGUUUAUUUGGUAGUCUUGUCCUAGCCUAGUCACUACUUCACCAAGGUUAGGCUCGAUACUUACCAGCACAUGGGGUCGGUUGUGCUGAUACUACACUCUGCACUGUGUGCAGAUCCCGUUGUUGGAGCUUUUGGACCACAGUGAGGUUACUGCCUUCAGUCCUGCGGCAGAGACCCGAGGUAGUCCUGCAGACGUCCGCAGGCCUUGGCGUCCCCUUCUAUCUUUUCAUUCUGUUUUUAUGUAUUUCAAAGAUAGAUUUGUAUUUUUCAUUCAGACCGCUGUUUGUAGUAUUUGUAGAUGGUCUGUGACAUUGUGACACCAAUUCUGGGUAGAGUUGUAUUUUAGAUUUCCAUAUUAGUAGUUGGUGAUAUUAUAAGAUUUUGUCUU
rnacentral:lncRNA from 1 species